rnacentral:rRNA from 1 species
CUGGAGGUAUCAGAAGUGCGAAUGCUGACAUAAGUAACGAUAAAGCGGGUGAAAAGCCCGCUCGCCGGAAGACCAAGGGUUCCUGUCCAACGUUAAUCGGGGCAGGGUGAGUCGACCCCUAAGGCGAGGCCGAAAGGCGUAGUCGAUGGGAAACAGGUUAAUAUUCCUGUACUUGGUGUUACUGCGAAGGGGGGACGGAGAAGGCUAUGUUGGCCGGGCGACGGUUGUCCCGGUUUAAGCGUGUAGGCUGGUUUUCCAGGCAAAUCCGGAAAAUCAAGGCUGAGGCGUGAUGACGAGGCACUACGGUGCUGAAGCAACAAAUGCCCUGCUUCCAGGAAAAGCCUCUAAGCAUCAGGUAACAUCAAAUCGUACCCCAAACCGACACAGGUGGUCAGGUAGAGAAUACCAAGGCGCUUGAGAGAACUCGGGUGAAGGAACUAGGCAAAAUGGUGCCGUAACUUCGGGAGAAGGCACGCUGAUAUGUAGGUGAAGCGACUUGCUCGUGGAGCUGAAAUCAGUCGAAGAUACCAGCUGGCUGCAACUGUUUAUUAAAAACACAGCACUGUGCAAACACGAAAGUGGACGUAUACGGUGUGACGCCUGCCCGGUGCCGGAAGGUUAAUUGAUGGGGUUAGCGGUAACGCGAAGCUCUUGAUCGAAGCCCCGGUAAACGGCGGCCGUAACUAUAACGGUCCUAAGGUAGCGAAAUUCCUUGUCGGGUAAGUUCCGACCUGCACGAAUGGCGUAAUGAUGGCCAGGCUGUCUCCACCCGAGACUCAGUGAAAUUGAACUCGCUGUGAAGAUGCAGUGUACCCGCGGCAAGACGGAAAGACCCCGUGAACCUUUACUAUAGCUUGACACUGAACAUUGAGCCUUGAUGUGUAGGAUAGGUGGGAGGCUUUGAAGUGUGGACGCCAGUCUGCAUGGAGCCGACCUUGAAAUACCACCCUUUAAUGUUUGAUGUUCUAACGUUGGCCCGUUAUCCGGGUUGCGGACAGUGUCUGGUGGGUAGUUUGACUGGGGCGGUCUCCUCCUAAAGAGUAACGGAGGAGCACGAAGGUUGGCUAAUCCUGGUCGGACAUCAGGAGGUUAGUGCAAUGGCAUAAGCCAGCUUGACUGCGAGCGUGACGGCGCGAGCAGGUGCGAAAGCAGGUCAUAGUGAUCCGGUGGUUCUGAAUGGAAGGGCCAUCGCUCAACGGAUAAAAGGUACUCCGGGGAUAACAGGCUGAUACCGCCCAAGAGUUCAUAUCGACGGCGGUGUUUGGCACCUCGAUGUCGGCUCAUCACAUCCUGGGGCUGAAGUAGGUCCCAAGGGUAUGGCUGUUCGCCAUUUAAAGUGGUACGCGAGCUGGGUUUAGAACGUCGUGAGACAGUUCGGUCCCUAUCUGCCGUGGGCGCUGGAGAACUGAGGGGGGCUGCUCCUAGUACGAGAGGACCGGAGUGGACGCAUCACUGGUGUUCGGGUUGUCAUGCCAAUGGCACUGCCCGGUAGCUAAAUGCGGAAGAGAUAAGUGCUGAAAGCAUCUAAGCACGAAACUUGCCCCGAGAUGAGUUCUCCCUGACCCUUUAAGGGUCCUGAAGGAACGUUGAAGACGACGACGUUGAUAGGCCGGGUGUGUAAGCGCAGCGAUGCGUUGAGCUAACC